CCUACGGGAGGCAGCAGUGAGGAAUAUUGGUCAAUGGACGAGAGUCUGAACCAGCCAAGUAGCGUGAAGGAUGACUGCCCUAUGGGCUGUAAACUUCUUUUAUAAAGGAAUAAAACGAGGCACGUGUGCCUUUUUCCACGUACUUUAUGAAUAAGGAUCGGCUAACUCCGUUCCAGCAGCCGCGGUAAUACGGAGGAUCCGAGCGUUAUCCUGUUUUAUUGGGUUUAAAGGGAGCGUAGAUGGGUUGUUAAGUCAGUUGUGAAAGUAUGCGGCUCAACCGGAAAAUUGCAAUUGAUACUGGCAGUCUUGAGUGCAGUUGAGGUAGGCGGAAUUCGUGGUGUAGCGGUGAAAUGCUUAGAUAUCACGAAGAACCCCGAUUGCGAAGGCAGCUUACUAAACUGUGACUGACAUUGAUGCUCGAAAGUGUGGGUAUCAAACAGGAUUAGAUACCCGGGUAGUC
rnacentral:rRNA from 1 species